UUCAAACAGCCAUCAUGAGGCUGUACUGUAUAUUUCUUCUAUUUACAACAAUGGUGGGUGAGAGCAUUGGACAGGAUGCAAUUACUUCCACAUCUAAAGAAGAGCAUGUUUUGGAUGGCAGCAGUCUUACUCUGUCAUGCAACUACUCAGCUGUUAAUGUAAACAGUCUACAGUGGUAUCGCCAGCACCCUGGAUCCAGACCAGAAUUCCUCAUCCUCAUCUAUGCAACUUCUGAGGAAAAGCCAGACAAGUGGUUCACCGUAAAACAUGAUAAAAAGAACAGGCGUGUGCAUCUGGAGAUCUCCUCUGCUGAAGUGACAGACUCUGCUCUGUACUACUGUGCCCUGGAGCCCACAGUGACAGGAAACCCAUUUAUGCCGUACAAAAACCUGAUAGCUACAACCUGAGACAAGAUAGCAAAGUUCCAUUUCCUGUAAAUUGUUAUAUGCUUUUGUAAAUAGUCUUGUAUUGUCUUAAAAAUGAUUCCACACACCAAAAAUUGAAACAUUAUGUUUUGACAGAGAAACUGAAGUCUGAAUAGAACAUUACAAUGCAGGUAAAAAAGACCAAGGCACUUGGCCUCAGUGUGCUGUAAUGUCUCCAGUUUCACACAAGAUGUCGCCAUUUCGCUGCAUAGCAUUUUCCCUCAAAUUCUCAAAUACGGUAACCAUUGCUUGCACUGUACAACACAUUGAAGCAAUUCUGAUAAUUUAUAAAAACUAUGCUUUUGCUUGUUAGAAUAUUUCCAUACAAUUUGACAGACAGGCUAUUUGGUGGUACAGUGCUUUGGUUUAAAGCAAGUUCUGAGGGUUGAAACCCAGAGACUGAUCUAUAGAAUUUAAAACAUUGAAAUGUAUCUUAACAUAUUGCAUAAUUAAAAAAAUAUGUUUGUAAUGUUUUGUAGCCUAUUCUGCCAUAUUAAAAGCAUGAUCAUUUAAAAUCUUAGCCACAUAAACUUUGGUCAACUAGGGAAUAUAUUAUGCAAUAUAAGUGAAUGGUGGACUGAGGAUAGGGAAAAGUUUACCAGGAACCUCAAAUUGUAUGGCGCUUUGUUUACAUUCAUUACUAAAAUACUGUAAUAUUUUUUUCAGAA